ensembl:lncRNA
AUGCCACAGAGAAAGAGGAGUUUCACUUUUGGAGCGUAUGGCGGAGUUGACAAGACAUUUUCCAGAGCCAGGAGUUUGUGGAAACAGGAUGGAGGAGAGCCCUGUAUCUCUAACACACUAGAUCCUUCACUGUUCCGGCCUUCACUGCCUCGCACCGGCCCUGCGUUCCUCAAGGUACAGUAUCACAAAACUCCUGCGUGCCUGCAUGCUGAGCGUCCUUCCAUCCUGCCAGUGCUUGACUUCUGCUUGCUGAGUCUGUCUCACCUCUUCUGACCCAUCUGCUCCAUUACUGUGAGCCUGUAUAGAACUAAUACUGAUUUGCAUGAGGCCAUUGUUUGGAGACAUGAUGAUCAAGGACUUUUCUGUUUAUUAUUAAUACAAAUGAUUGACAUGCCAUGCAGUUAAAUGAGAGUGAUGUAAUUAAAUGCCAGAUGCUAUUAAUUAACAAAUGUCAGGCCGGUUUCUCAGUCACACCCCUUAUUCCAUGAGACAAACUAAUGACUGUCAAAAUAGCAUUGAUUAGGAAAGGUCAUUUAUCCACUGACAGUGGCUUAUUGCUCCGGGGAUUUAGCAUGCUGCUCUUGUGACCCUUAAAGGAACAGUUCUAACAAGUUCUAACAAAAUGAUUUUUUUUACUCACCCUUAUGUUGUUUCCAACCUGAAUGGCAUUGAACACAAUGGAGAGAUUUUAAAGAAUGUACUAUUUUUCAUGCAAUUACAAUGAUUGGGGGGC